AUACGUAGGUGGCAAGCGUUGUCCGGAAUUAUUGGGCGUAAAGCGCGCGCAGGCGGUCCUUUAAGUCUGAUGUGAAAGCCCACGGCUCAACCGUGGAGGGUCAUUGGAAACUGGGGGACUUGAGUGCAGAAGAGGAAAGUGGAAUUCCAAGUGUAGCGGUGAAAUGCGUAGAGAUUUGGAGGAACAUCAGUGGCGAAGGCGACUUUCUGGUCUGUAACUGACGCUGAGGCGCGAAAGCGUGGGGAGCAAACAGGAUUAGAUACCCUGGUAGUCCACGCCGUAAACGAUGAGUGCUAAGUGUUAGGGGGUUUCCGCCCCUUAGUGCUGCAGCUAACGCAUUAAGCACUCCGCCUGGGGAGUACGGUCGCAAGACUGAAACUCAAAGGAAUUGACGGGG
rnacentral:rRNA from 1 species